rnacentral:ncRNA from 2 species
AAAGACACCUCUGGAAAGAGGGACGCCGGUUCGGUGUCCCCGCCGAAGGGGCAAGCUCGCGGUGACGCGCAGUGGAAGCUCUCAGGUACCGAUGACAGAGGGGGAGAG